UACGUAGGGAGCAAGCGUUGUCCGGAAUCAUUGGGCGUAAAGCGCGCGUAGGUGGCCUCGUAAGUCCGCUGUGAAAGUCAAAGGCUCAACCUUUGAAAGCCGGUGGAUACUGUGAGACUAGAGUACGGAAGAGGCGAGUGGAAUUCCUGGUGUAGCGGUGGAAUGCGCAGAUAUCAGGAGGAACACCAAUAGCGAAGGCAGCUCGCUGGGACGUUACUGACACUGAGGCGCGAAAGCGUGGGGAGCGAACAGG
rnacentral:rRNA from 1 species